rnacentral:lncRNA from 1 species
UGACAAAAGGAUAAAAAGAAAAUGAUUAAAAAUGAAUAAAAAUUGGAUGCAAAAGUUCACGAAAAUUUAAACUGAAUGCAUCAAAAUGAUCAACGUGAAAUAAACUUCUCGGAAAUAUACAUGUUUUGAUCAAAUUUUGAAAUAGAAAACAUCCGGUUAAAACGCACAAACAGAUCAAAAUAUGAUCGAAAAAUUAGUAAAAAAUAAAUCAAAAACACCAUGUUAAACUACAUGAAACGUAUAUUAAUAAGACUAAUGUAUGCAAGCUUGAUUUGAAAACAU